GCGUUUUCCAAUUCCUUCCAUUUCGGCUCGCUUUGAACUUCCCCCGUCGUGAACUCCGGCGACACCACAUGUUCCGAACAGCUCGAAUCCGUGUGUAAUCGCGGUAUUGAAUCUGAUGUAUCGUAAUGUAUGUAAUCAUCUACUGACGCCGGCGCCGCCGCGACUGCCGGGAUUAAUGUAUCAGCGCCGCCGCGACUGGUGAAAAUCUUCGGCUUCUCGUCUUCUUCCUCUUCGUAGACGUUCGUGUUACGAUUGAUCGCUAUCUGAUUUCGCUUCUCGAUUACGCCUUUCUUGUUGUAAAUCCGGCACAGAACCCAAUCGUCAAGCUUAAGAUUGUUCUUAUUCCGAGCCGACCGGUCCACGUCGGCGAGCCGGUACUCAUGCAUAAUCCAAUUG
rnacentral:misc_RNA from 1 species